rnacentral:lncRNA from 1 species
AAUAUCUCCCUUAAUUAUUAUGAUUAUUAUUCUUCUUCUUUUAUGAUUGAGACCUUCUAAACUUUAAAAUCCUUUUAUUCGAGUUAUAAUUAAAUUCGAUGGAACCAUCAAUAUAUUUGAUAAAACUCUCAAUUUCUUUUACUGUAAGAUCAUAAAAUAAGAAGCGCGGUCAGAGAAAGUUGAAAGAAUUUCUUCUAUUUUUAAUUUGUGCUUUUUUAUUUA